GCAUAUCAAUAAGCGGCGGAAAAGAAACCAACAGGGAUUGCCUUAGUAACGGCGAGUGAAGCGGCAACAGCUCAAAUUUGAAAGCUGGCUCCUUCGGAGUCCGCGUUGUAAUUUGUAGAGGAUGAUUCGGCGAGGGCUCCCGCCUAAGUCCCCUGGAACGGGGCGUCAUAGAGGGUGAGAAUCCCGUAUGCGGUGGGUUGCCUUAGCCAUGUGAAUCUCCUUCGACGAGUCGAGUUGUUUGGGAAUGCAGCUCUAAAUGGGAGGUAAAUUUCUUCUAAAGCUAAAUACCGGCCAGAGACCGAUAGCGCACAAGUAGAGUGAUCGAAAGAUGAAAAGCACUUUGGAAAGAGAGUUAAAAAGUACGUGAAAUUGUUGAAAGGGAAGCGCUUGCAGCCAGACUUGUCCGCAGUUGCUCAACCGGUCUCCUGACCGGUGUACUCUUCUGCGGCCAGGCCAGCAUCAGUUCGGGCGGUCGGAUAAAGGCCCUGGGAAUGUAGCUCCU
rnacentral:rRNA from 1 species